CGCCUCUGAUGCAAGCCCAGAGCUCCCACAGUCCUUGAGUAGCUGGCGGCUGUCACCGCGCGACUCCGUUUAAACUGAGCAACAGCCAAUCGGAUGGUGUGGGUGUGGCCAGGGAGUCUGAGCGGGCAAGGAGAGGACCAGUUUUAUCUGCAAUUCACCUGUAUGGGAUUGAGCCAGAAAUAACCUUUUUCACCGAGGAGUGGAUUUUUCCAUGACCUGAGUCUACGUGGAAGUAAAUUCCAUUGAGCUCAAUGGGAUCUACUUUCAACACAGGAAUUCGUUCUAGGUUGAAGCAAGUCCAAACCAGCAAGAUGGCGUGAUGCCUUUUCACAAUUAACACACAAAGUGAAAGAGGUUUUAGGACAUGCAUUUACUCAUAACAUACCCUGGACAAGAUGUUGGAACUGACUUUAACCUUGUCCGGAUAUAGUAAAUCUGAUGUCGAAAAAAGUGAAAAUACUUUAAACAACCGGAAGUAAUUGAUACAACGUCUAUGUUUUUCCAAGCGAUUUCAGCUUUAGCUGUGCCUUUUACAUUGGUAGAAAGUUCUAUUAAAGUAGUUAUACUGUGAACCUUGUGUAUUACUUAUGUGCACCCAAUGUUUGAAUUGCAUUGUGAUAUUACUGAAGAAUUUACUUUGAUUUAUAUAACAACAUUUACUGGAAGUUGUAAUCCUAAUCUUAACUCCAAAUUCACCUUUGCUGCUGUGGGAAGUAGAUUAGCUUCGCUGGAACAUGGCUACAAUCCUCAAAUGACUCUAAAACCAGGGAUAUAAAGUGAAUGAACUAAAAACCUGAAUCUGAAAAUGCCUUAUAUUGUACAUUUUUUUUUUGCAAAAUGUUCACUGUAACAUGUG